CCUACGGGUGGCUGCAGUGAGGAAUAUUGGGCAAUGGGCGCAAGCCUGACCCAGCAAUGCCGCGUGCGGGACGAAGGUCUUCGGAUCGUAAACCGCUUUUGUGGGGGAGUAGCAAGGAGAGUACCCCACGAAUAAGUCACGGCUAACUACGUGCCAGCAGCCGCGGUAAUACGUAGGUGACAAAUGUUAUCCGGAAUCACUGGGCGUAAAGGGUCUGUAGGCGGCUAUUUAGGUCUGAUGUGACACCUCUCGGCUUAACUGAGAGAGCGCAUUGG
rnacentral:rRNA from 1 species